UGGGGAAUUUUGGACAAUGGGCGAAAGCCUGAUCCAGCAAUGCCGCGUGUGUGAAGAAGGCCUUCGGGUUGUAAAGCACUUUUGUCCGGAAAGAAAUCCUUGGCUCUAAUACAGUCGGGGGAUGACGGUACCGGAAGAAUAAGCACCGGCUAACUACGUGCCAGCAGCCGCGGUAAUACGUAGGGUGCAAGCGUUAAUCGGAAUUACUGGGCGUAAAGCGUGCGCAGGCGGUUUGCUAAGACCGAUGUGAAAUCCCCGGGCUCAACCUGGGAACUGCAUUGGUGACUGGCAGGCUAGAGUAUGGCAGAGGGGGGUAGAAUUCCACGUGUAGCAGUGAAAAUGCGUAGAGAUGUGGAGGAAUACCGAUGGCGAAGGCAGCCCCCUGGCAAGUACUGACGCUCAUGCACGAAAAGCGUGGGGAGCAAACAGGAUUAGAUACCCUGGUAGUCCACGCCCUAAAACGAUGUCAACUAGUUGUUGGGGAUUCAUUUCCUUAGUAACGUAGCUAACGCGUGAAGUUGACCGCCUGGGGAGUACGGUCGCAAGAUUAAAAACUCAAAUGAAUUGACGGGGUCAUAGCUGUUUCCU
rnacentral:rRNA from 1 species